rnacentral:rRNA from 1 species
UGCCAGCCGCCGCGGUAAUACGGAGGGUCCGAUCGUUAUCCGGAAUCAUUGUGUUUAAAGGGUCCGCAGGCGGUCAAUUAAGUCAGAGGUGAAAGCCCAUCGCUCAACGAUGGAACUGCCUUUGAUACUGAUUGACUUGAGUUAUAUGGAAGUAGAUAGAAUAAGUAGUGUAGCGGUGAAAUGCAUAGAUAUUACUUAGAAUACCGAUUGCGAAGGCAGUCUACUACGUAUAUAAGGAAGCGGAGGGAAGAACGCGUGGGGCGCGAACAGGAGUAGAUC